CUCGUGAGCCGUCAUAGGCAAUACACCUAGGAGAGCAAACUCCGAAUAAUAAACCCGGGCAGGCUGGACUCGUGAGCCGUCAUAGGCAAUACACCUAGGAGAGCAAACUCCGAACAACAAACCCGGGCAGGCUGGACUCGUGAGCCGUCAUAGGCAAUACACCUAGGAGAGCAAACUCCGAAUAAUAAACCCGGGCAGGCUGGACUCGUGAGCCGUCAUAGGCAAUACACCUAGGAGAGCAAACUCCGAAUAAUAAACCCGGGCAGGCUGGACUCGUGAGCCGUCAUAGGCAAUACACCUAGGAGAGCAAACUCCGAACAAUAAACCCGGGCAGGUUGGACUCGUGAGCCGUCAUAGGCAA